rnacentral:rRNA from 1 species
UGAACGCUGGCGGCAUGCUUUACACAUGCAAGUCGAGCGGCAGCGCGGGGGCAACCCUGGCGGCGAGCGGCGAACGGGUGAGUAAUGCAUCGGAACGUAUCCUCGAGUGGGGGAUAACCCAGCGAAAGUUGGGCUAAUACCGCAUGAGCUCUGAGGAGGAAAGCGGGGGACCUGCGAGGGCCUCGCGCUGGAGGAGCGGCCGAUGUCCGAUUAGCUAGUUGGUGGGGUAAAGGCUUACCAAGGCGACGAUCGGUAGCUGGUCUGAGAGGAUGAUCAGCCACACUGGGACUGAGACACGGCCCAGACUCCUACGGGAGGCAGCAGUGGGGAAUUUUGGACAAAGGGGGCAACCCUGAUCCAGCCAUGCCGCGUGAGUGAAGAAGGCCUUCGGGUUGUAAAGCUCUUUCGGACGGAACGAAAUGGGCGGGACUAAUACUCCUGUCUGAUGACGGUACCGUAAGAAGAAGCACCGGCUAACUACGUG